UGUAAGCGUAUACCAAAGUUGUUGCAGUUAAAACGCUCGUAGUCGGAAUUUGGCAGUUCCGGAAGUGUGCACGUCGUGUGCGCACUUUGCGGGGACUGCUUUUGUGGUCUUGCGUAGGAUGAGGCACUUUCAUUAGUGAACGUCCUCACGCAACCACUCUUUACUGUGAGAAAAUCAGAGUGCUCAAAGCAGGCAUUUGCCGUGAAUGUAUUAGCAAGGAAUAAUAGAAUAGGACUCGGUUCUAUUUUGUUGGUUUGUUGGGACUGAGUAAUGAUUAAGAGGGACAGUUGGGGGCAUUUGUAUUCCGGCGCUAGAGGUGAAAUUCUUAGAUUGCCGGAAGACAAACUGCUGCGAAAGCGUCUGCCAAGGAUGUUUUCAUUGA
rnacentral:rRNA from 1 species